ACAAAAGUCACACUUGAAAACGGGUGUGGUCCUCUCCAUAAAUGGAGAAAAUCUUAAUUCUGCAGGUUGAUUGGCUCUGCCUUGCCUUCUAUUGGCCAACGAUGACGAGCCGUCUUUAGGUUCCAGAACUUUCUGCGAACUUUUUCACCAGCUAUCCAUCCUGUGUCAGAGAGACUCGCCAGAUAUUCCAGAUUCUUCACUGCACUUUGCAUCUUGGUGAGUGUUGGAUAACAUUUUUAUUUCAAAAA